rfam:Danio rerio chromosome 4, GRCz11 reference primary assembly.
GCCGUGAUCGUAUAGUGGUUAGUACUCUGCGUUAUGGCCGCAGCAACCCCGGUUCGAAUCCGGGUCACGGCA